rnacentral:lncRNA from 1 species
AUUUAUUUGAUUUGUUUUUUAGAAAUUAAAUUGUAAGGAAAUAAUUGAAAAUUUGGCAAAAAUUCUUAAGAGACAUCCAGGUUUAAGAAACAUUUUGCCUAUAACUACUGCCAAAGUGCCUAUAGUAAAAUUUGAACACAGACGAAGUGGGUUAGAAGGCGAUAUCAGUUUAUAUAAUACGUUGGCUCAACAUAACACAAGAAUGCUAGCUACUUAUGCAGCUAUUGAUCCUAGAGUGCAGUAUUUGGGAUAUACUAUGAAAGUGUUUGCUAAGGUAUUUAUGAAAAAAUUAAUGAUCUGCUUUGUUCAUGAUAAUUAAAGUGAAACAUAACGUCAGAUUUGUGAAAA